UACGUAGGGUGCAAGCGUUUGUCCGGAAUUAUUGGGCGUAAAGAGCUCGUAGGCGGUUUGUCGCGUCUGCUGUGAAAACCCGAGGCUCAACCUCGGGCCUGCAGUGGGUACGGGCAGACUAGAGUGCGGUAGGGGAGAUUGGAAUUCCUGGUGUAGCGGUGGAAUGCGCAGAUAUCAGGAGGAACACCGAUGGCGAAGGCAGAUCUCUGGGCCGUAACUGACGCUGAGGAGCGAAAAGCGUGGGGAGCGAACAGG
rnacentral:rRNA from 1 species